CACUCCUCUCACUGAACAGCACCCAACCAUACCAGUUUCUUGGCCAGACCCCUGCCCUCCAGCUAUAGACUAAGAGAAGCUGGAGGUGUGAGACAGCUCUCAGGGGCUCCAUUUUCUUACAACAAAUGACUUCUGAGGCCUCCUCCAGUUCCAGUGAUAUUUAUAAGUGGGAGUUAACUAACACUUCAGAGAGGAAGUUGAGUUGGGGGAAGAAAAUGAAGUUGUCUGGGAAACUUAGCUGGUCACCACAGCAGGAGCAGGGACCCACUCCUCACGCUACCGGCCAUUUGGGAAUAGAAGCAACCUCAGCCCUGCCCUGAGCCAGCAAGUGAAUCUUGAGCCUAAACUUUAAAAGUUCAAGUCUACUUAAGUAACCAUCGGACCAAAACUAAAAAGUCUAAGAAAGAAAAGAACAAGAUGAUAUAAUCUCUUCUCCACAGCUGAGAGGAAGAGACACCAAUUGUGUAUUUUCAAAUAAUUCCAAGAAUGUUAUCCAAUAAAAUGGCAAAC